GACGAACGCUGGCGGCGUGCUUAACGCAUGCAAGUCGAACGGAAAGGCCCUGCUUUUGUGGGGUGCUCGAGUGGCGAACGGGUGAGUAACACGUGAGUAACCUGCCCUUGACUUUGGGAUAACUUCAGGAAACUGGGGCUAAUACCGGAUAGGAGCUCCUGCUGCAUGGUGGGGGUUGGAAAGUUUCGGCGGUUGGAGAUGGACUCGCGGCUUAUCAGCUUGUUGGUGGGGUAGUGGCUUACCAAGGCUUUGACGGGUAGCCGGCCUGAGAGGGUGACCGGCCACAUUGGGACUGAGAUACGGCCCAGACUCCUACGGGAGGCAGCAGUGGGGAAUAUUGCACAAUGGGCGGAAGCCUGAUGCAGCAACGCCGCGUGCGGGAUGACGGCCUUCGGGUUGUAAACCGCUUUCGCCUGUGACGAAGCGUGAGUGACGGUAAUGGGUAAAGAAGCACCGGCUAACUACGUG
rnacentral:rRNA from 1 species